UUAACUCAAAUUUGUAUGAAGUUCGAACGUUUGCUUACGUUUGCCGCUAAGGGUGUUGUAACAACUCCAUACAAAUUUGAGUUA
rfam:Bombyx mori DNA, contig: Bm_scaf26_contig17291, strain: p50T/Dazao, build 2, whole genome shotgun sequence.